rnacentral:rRNA from 1 species
AGAGUUUGAUCAUGGCUCAGGAUGAACGCUAGCUACAGGCUUAACACAUGCAAGUCGAGGGGCAGCAUCAUCAAAGCUUGCUUUGAUGGGAUGGCGACCGGCGCACGGGUGAGUAACACGUAUCCAACCUGCCGACAACACUGGGAUAGCCUUUCGAAAGAAAGAUUAAUACCGGAUGGCAUAGUUUUCCCGCAUGGGAUGAUUAUUAAAGAAUUUCGGUUGUCGAUGGGGAUGCGUUCCAUUAGGCAGUUGGCGGGGUAACGGCCCACCAAACCAACGAUGGAUAGGGGUUCUGAGAGGAAGGUCCCCCACAUUGGAACUGAGACACGGUCCAAACUCCUACGGGAGGCAGCA